rnacentral:rRNA from 1 species
AUUGAACGCUGGCGGCAGGCCUAACACAUGCAAGUCGAACGAGUGGCGGACGGGUGAGUAAUGUCUGGGAAACUGCCCGAUGGAGGGGGAUAACUACUGGAAACGGUAGCUAAUACCGCAUCCCAUCGGAUGUGCCCAGAUGGGCUUAGCUAGUCGGUGGGGUAACGGCUUACCUAGGCGACGAUCCCUAGCUGGUCUGAGAGGAUGACCAGCGACACGGGAACUGAGACAAGGUCCAGAAUCCUACGGGAGGCAGCAGGGGGUAAUAUUGCACAAUGUGCGCAAGCCUGAUGCAGCCAUGCCGCGUGUAUGAAGAAGGCCUUCGGGUUGUAAAGUACUUUCAGCGGGGAGGCGUUACCCGCAGAAGAAGCACCGGCUAACUCCGUGCCAGCCGCCGCGGUAAUUC